rnacentral:lncRNA from 1 species
AUGAGCAGCAUGAUGGAGACCCAUUCAGGGGACUUAGAUCAACUGAAGAAGGAUACACUUGGGAUAUUUGACCAGUUUAUUGACCCUUUCAGUCGAAUUGCUACAACGCAUUUGCAAGAAAAGACCAUCAAAGAACUAUUUAAACCUGUUGAACCUGAGACUGUUGAUGUUAAACACACAGUAUGUUAUGUGAAAAGUGGAGAGACUAGAGUCCUCAAGAUAAAGAACAAGUGUUUUCAUUAUAUACCAUUGGUCAAAAGUUUAGAGCAGUUACUUAGUCAUCCAAUCAUUUUGGCAAUGAUCGAAGAAGGGCCACAGCCAUGCAUGGAUGGAUUAUUUUAUGAUUUAAUUGAUGAUAACAUAUAUAAGUCACACCCAUUAUUUUUGGAAGUACCUACAGCAUUACAAUUAGUUUUAUACACAGACGAAGUGGAAGUUUGCAAUCCUCUUGGGUCUCGGGCAACAAAAAAUAUAUUGCUGUUGGUUUAUUAUACCCUGGGGAAUAUUAGCCCUAAGUACAGGUCAAAACUGGCUGCAAUACGCCUGGUUGCCAUGGUAAAGUCAAACGACAUUUCCCAUUCUGGCAUUGAUAAAAUAUUAGCGAGGAUUAACCUUGACUUAAAUGAAUUGUACAAGGGUGUUAAAAUAAUGACUGCUAAUGGUGAGAAGACCAUUUAUGGGGCUCUUAUGUGUGUUUUAGGAGACACUUUAGGCCAACAUGAAGUGGCUGGAUUUAAAGAAGGGGUGGGAUUUGCCUAUAGUAAAUGCAGGCAUUGUGAAUGCAACUUUGAAGACAUGCAGACGCAAUUUGAUGAAGAUCUAUUUGUUAGAAGGACCAUGGCUAGACAUAUCAGGCAAUGUAACGACAUUGAAAAGGCAAGCACUGAAUCUAUAAAAGCAAAUUUAAAAACUACAUAUGGUAUAAAUCGAAAGAGCAAAUUAGCAGAUUUCCCAGACUUUGACAUAAUUAAUCAGACUCCACAAGACAUCAUGCAUGUUAUUCUUGAGGGU